AUUGAACGCUGGCGGCACGCUUUACACAUGCAAGUCGAACGGCAGCGCGGGCUUCGGCCUGGCGGCGAGUGGCGAACGGGUGAGUAAUACAUCGGAACGUGCCCAGUAGUGGGGGAUAGCUCGGCGAAAGCCGGAUUAAUACCGCAUACGACCUGAGGGUGAAAGCGGGGGAUCUUCGGACCUCGCGCUAUUGGAGCGGCCGAUGGCAGAUUAGCUAGUUGGUGGGGUAAAGGCCUACCAAGGCGACGAUCUGUAGCUGGUCUGAGAGGACGACCAGCCACACUGGGACUGAGACACGGCCCAGACUCCUACGGGAGGCAGCAGUGGGGAAUUUUGGACAAUGGGCGAAAGCCUGAUCCAGCAAUGCCGCGUGUGUGAUGAAGGCCUUCGGGUUGUAUAGCACUUUUGGCGGGAACGAAAAGGACUGUGCCAAUACCACGGUUCGAUGACGGUACCCGCAGAAUAAGCACCGGCUAACUACGUG
rnacentral:rRNA from 1 species